rnacentral:misc_RNA from 1 species
CGUCGGCCACCAAUACAAUAUGAUCAUUCACCUGCAUAUUGUACGCGUCCUCUCCCCACAGCUCCAUGUCUAAGUAAAUCAGCACCGGGAGGACCAGGGAAGCGCUGAUGAACCGUACUUGUUGGUUUGCAUACCCAGUGAAGUUUAAAUGAUGCCUAAUGUAAUGUUCUACUGCUAUUAAAUUAAUAUUAAGGAUCGCCGGUGAGAAUGUGACACAGCCAUUG